GAUAUUAGUGAAUCACCGGGGAACCACUCUGU
rnacentral:rRNA from 1 species